UUUUUUAAUUUAUUUAUUGGCUGUGCAGUCUUGGUUGCAACAUACGGGAUCUAUAGUUGUGGCACGUGAACUCUUGCUGUGGCGUGUGGGAUCUAGCUCCCUGACCAGGGAUUGAACCCAGCCCUGCUGCAUUGGCAGCACAGUCUUAGCCACUGCACUACCAGGAAAGUUGGAACCUAGGAUUCUUAAUCCCUUUGGGGAGGUGGGGGAAUAGGUAAAAUAUAGUGGAAACACAUGUAUAGUACUGUGCAUUGCGCAGAAGCAAAGGACUACAUAUACCGACCACAUACGCACAUAUUUUAAAAAAUGCAGUGUUUAGUGGACGUAAUCACAAAAUCUAUAAUAUAAUACCAUUUGUAUACGUUUAAAAUGCAUGCACACAAAGAUGUUUUAAAGAAAAUACUCAAAAACAUGUCAAAUAUAGGAUGGUUUUCUAAGGACAAGAAGAAGGUUGCCCAUAGAGCAAAAAGUAGAACAGGAGCAGGAAAUGAGGUAAAAAGAUACUAAAUUAAAAGAACAGUGAUGUUGCUGUGCCAUAAACCAAAGCAUAUGAUCAAACUUUCUGUGGCUAAGAUCCAACAAUAAAUCUUACCAAGAAGAGAAAAUCGUAUCUGGGAGAAAAAAAGUUUAAAUGAGAUAAGUACUUAGAAAAAUGUGGUCAGACAAGGAUUCUCAUAUUUUGUUAGAUAUACAAACUGGUAUGACCUUCGUAAAGGACAGUAUUUACCAAGAACCUUAAAAAUGCUCAUCAUAGCAACAGUAAUUGUAAAUUGAAGUUAAGAAACAAAAACCAUGUCAGUAGCACCAGUAAACAUGAAAUACUGAAGGAUAUAUUUAGCAAAGUAUGUUUGAGACCUGUAUUCUGAAAUUGCUGAGAGAAACUAAAGGAUACCUAAAUAACGAGAAAGAUAUCAUGUUCAAGAAUCAGAAGACAAUAUUGUUAAGAUUUCACCUCUUCUCAAAUUGGUGUAUUGAUCUAUCUGUAGUUCAACAGGCUAAAAUUUAUAUGCAAAUACAAAGGCUCUAGAGUAUUCAAAAUAAGAACAAUGGGAAUUACACUAUCUGGUUUUAAGACUUUAUUAAAAAAAAAAAUUUUAGCUGUGCUGCAUGACUUACAGAAUCUUAGUUCCCCGACCAGGGAUUUCAAGCGCCAAGUCCUAAGCACUGGACUACCAGAGAAUUCUCAAGACUUUAAAACUGCAGGACCCUACAUGUAAUUUUAACAAAACGAGAAAUCAAUGAGACAGAGCAAAAUGGAGGAACUUCCAGUUUUAUAACCAGGCAGUCAGAAGUACGCUUACAACCUGGAUUUGCAAGUGGUGCCUGAAGUGGGGACAGUCUUGUGGGACUAAACCUGUGGGAUCUGAUGCUAUCUCCAGUAGUAUCAAGACUGAGUUAAUUUAAUUGCUCAUUGGUGUUGGAAAACACAUUUGGAAAUGAACUAAAUAAACUUGCCUUCGUUUUA
ensembl:lncRNA